GUGCUUCCGGGUGUUCUUCUUUUUCUUUGUUUUUGUUUUGUUUUUUUAUUCUUCCGGAUGAUC
rnacentral:ribozyme from 14 species